GACGAACGCUGGCGGCGUGCCUAACACAUGCAAGUCGAGCGAAUGAAGUUCCUUCGGGAAUGGAUUUAGCGGCGGACGGGUGAGUAACACGUGGGCAACCUGCCUCAUAGAGGGGAAUAGCCUCCCGAAAGGGAGAUUAAUACCGCAUAAGAUUGUAGUACCGCAUGAUACAGCAAUUAAAGGAGCAAUCCGCUAUGAGAUGGGCCCGCGGCGCAUUAGCUAGUUGGUAAGGUAAUGGCUCACCAAGGCGACGAUGCGUAGCCGACCUGAGAGGGUGAUCGGCCACAUUGGGACUGAGACACGGCCCAGACUCCUACGGGAGGCAGCAGUGGGGAAUAUUGCACAAUGGGGGAAACCCUGAUGCAGCAACGCCGCGUGAGUGAUGACGGCCUUCGGGUUGUAAAGCUCUGUCUUCAGGGACGAUAAUGACGGUACCUGAGGAGGAAGCCACGGCUAACUACGUG
rnacentral:rRNA from 1 species